CCAAUCCCCAUUCUUCUGCGCGGACAAAUUUAAAAUGGCGGCCGACAUGUACAAAAUUUGAGCUACAUUUCUUUAUGGUUUUGGCACGUUUUUAGCUGUUUUUAACUUAAUUUUGACGUGUAGUUUACGACGAUACUUAUCAACCACUUGUUUAUCAACAGCGUCGUUGUGAAAGCAGCAAGCUUUGACCAAUAUAUUGAAGGAAAUGAACCCAGUUCCACACGUCUCCAAUCGUCCUUCAAGCAUGAAUGUUGGCUUACCAAAACCAAGUGUUGAAGUUGCCUCGAAGGUGCCUAUGUCGGCGGGAAAUAUUAGAAAUAUACAAGGUUUGUACAAUGACGUUAAGUUGAAACCUCAACAGUGGACUGUAGUGGC